AUGCAUGCUCUCAUGACCAGGUAGCAUGCUUUAGAGGCAAGACAAUGGACUCCAGAGAAAGACAGAGUAAGGUGUUCGAUCCAAGUCAGUGAAGGACUUGCGUGGCACUCUGCGGUGAGCCCCAGGCCUUAGACUUCUGGCUGAAUCCUCUAGCUCCCAAGCACAUAGACUGUCCUUUUGCAUUCUUCCCCACCUGACUAUGCAGGCAGCCAUUGGUGUGAUGGCGAAGAAGCACCUGGGGGAGGGGGUGGGUUGUUCUGGUGGUAGAAUGAAAGGAAACUAGUCGCUGCAACAUGGCUCAGAGCUGAAGCAGAGGAAAGGAGGAUGCCACGGGAGGACCCGCGAUGUGCAGGAGAGGAGUGCAGAAGGUAGCCCAGAAGACUGUCAGGACGAGAGAGGUCCACGUGGAAGGGCAGGCGCUCAGGAGGGGGUUGACUGAGCUACUCCACGAAUGGCACCCUGGGAGCCCGCGCCGGGGGUGGAGGGCAUUCUGUCUGCCUCGGAGCACCGUGUGGGGACGCAGGGAUCAGCACCUCAGAGACCCCCACACGAAGGAGCAAAGCAGCACAGGGUGGUGGACUAUGGCGGGCAGAAGUGGCGUGGGCAUGCAGAAAGGCGGCUCCACAGCCCUUCCUGGGGCUCACUGUUAGGAACACAAAUUUUGUCAUUGUGCCCAAGUUGUAUCAGACUUACUAAGUUUAUCAGAGGUGUAGAUUUAAUUCUUUUUGAAAGAAAGCCUCUGUUUUGAAAUUAUUCUAGGAUUGUGCAAUGAGCGGAGCCUCCGGUCCUUCUUGUACUAACUUCAUGCAGGCGUUAUGGGGAUGAAGGAAAUUUCCACUCCCUUCCCUGAAGGUACACGCUUUCGUUCGCUGGAAUAAAUGGGUAAUAGACAUAUUAACACAAUAACAGGUGUGCUGGAACGUGGAGCUCUCACAGCUCAGUGAGAUCCAGAAGGAUCUUCCACAUUCUUUUACACAGAGGAAAGAAUAAGGAGGGGGUUUAGGCGAUUCUGAGGGGAACAAAUGACUUUUAAGGAUGCGGAACCGCCUGGAGACAAGGGCGCCCUGGAAAGUUCCUCUGGGCUCCCGCUGUGGUGUUCGACUUAUGGUUUCUUCCUUUGUGAUGUCAGUUUCAUUUUCCUUAGUGAAUGCAAUGUUAGUCAGGAGGCGAUCGUGCCCCACUUUGGUAGAUCCGGUUCUCAAAUAGGUAAGGAGACUUUAGAGAAAAGCGUCACCUAGCACCCGCUCAUCGCCACCUGAUUAAUUUCAAUAAUCAGUGUUAUAGUUCGGAUGAAAAUGUCCCACAAAAGCUCUUGUGUUCAGAGGUGGCUCUGGGCACUGAUGCUAACACGAGGGCUCUAACUUCAUUUGGGGAUUAAUUAAUCUACUCGUGACUUUCUAAUUUGAUGGAUCCACUGGGCAGUGAUGAAAGCGUAGGUGCGGGCCCCUCCUUGAAGGGACUGCGUCAGGAGGGCUUGGCCUUGGACACUAGAUCUUGUCACUGGCCCCUGCCUUUCUGACUUUCUUUUUGCUUCCUGGGUCCCCUGAGACAAGCAGCUUCCUCCUCUGCCCCUUCCU